rnacentral:rRNA from 1 species
GAUGAACGCUGGCGGCGUGCCUAAUACAUGCAAGUCGAGCGAACAGACGAGGAGCUUGCUCCUCUGACGUUAGCGGCGGACGGGUGAGUAACACGUGGAUAACCUACCUAUAAGACUGGGAUAACUUCGGGAAACCGGAGCUAAUACCGGAUAACAUGUUGAACCGCAUGGUUCAACAGUGAAAGACGGUCUUGCUGUCACUUAUAGAUGGAUCCGCGCCGCAUUAGCUAGUUGGUAAGGUAACGGCUUACCAAGGCAACGAUGCGUAGCCGACCUGAGAGGGUGAUCGGCCACACUGGAACUGAGACACGGUCCAGACUCCUACGGGAGGCAGCAGUAGGGAAUCGGACGCAAUGGGCGAAAGCCUGACGGAGCAACGCCGCGUGAGUGAAGAAGGUCUUCGGAUCGUAAAACUCUGUUAUUAGGGAAGAACAAAUGUGGAAGUAACUAUGCACGUCUUGACGGUACCUAAUCAGAAAGCCACGGCUAACUACGUG